rnacentral:siRNA from 1 species
GAGGUAUGGAAAGAUGUAGGC